rnacentral:rRNA from 1 species
GCUGUAGGGAGCUAUAAGUUCUCUGUAGCGCAGCUAACGCAUUAAGCACUCCGCCUGGGGAGUACGACCGCAAGGUUGAAACUCAAAGGAAUUGACGGGGGCCCGCACAAGCGGUGGAGCAUGUGGUUUAAUUCGAAGCAACGCGAAGAACCUUACCAGGUCUUGACAUACUCGUGCUAUCCUUAGAGAUAAGGAGUUCCUUCGGGACACGGGAUACAGGUGGUGCAUGGUUGUCGUCAGCUCGUGUCGUGAGAUGUUGGGUUAAGUCCCGCAACGAGCGCAACCCUUAUUACUAGUUGCCAUCAUUAAGUUGGGCACUCUAGUGAGACUGCCGGUGAUAAACCGGAGGAAGGUGGGGAUGACGUCAAAUCAUCAUGCCCCUUAUGACCUGGGCUACACACGUGCUACAAUGGAUGGUACAACGAGUCGCCAACCCGCGAGGGUGCGCUAAUCUCUUAAAACCAUUCUCAGUUCGGAUUGCAGGCUGCAACUCGCCUGCAUGAAGUCGGAAUCGCUAGUAAUCGCGGAUCAGCACGCCGCGGUGAAUACGUUCCCGGGCCUUGUACACACCGCCCGUCACACCACGGAAGUUGGGAGUACCCAAAGUAGGUUGCCUAACCGCAAGGAGGGCGCUUCCUAAGGUAAGACCGAUGACUGGGGUGAAGUCGUAACAAGGUAGCCGUAUCGGAAGGUGCGGCUG